rnacentral:rRNA from 1 species
AUUGAACGCUAGCGGCAUGCCUUACACAUGCAAGUCGAACGAGUGGCGGACGGGUGAGUAAUAUAUGGGAACCUGCCUGAUAGCGGGGGAUAACUACUGGAAACGGUGGCUAAUACCGCAUACCAUCAGAUGUGCCCAUAUGGGAUUAGCUAGUGGGUGGGGUAACGGCUCACCAAGGCGACGAUCCCUAGCUGGUUUGAGAGGAUGACCAGCCACACUGGAACUGAGACACGGCCCAGACUCCUACGGGAGGCAGCAGUGGGGAAUAUUGCACAAUGGGGGAAAGCCUGAUGCAGCCAUGCCGCGUGUAUGAAGAAGGCCUUCGGGUUGUAAAGUACUUUUAGCGGGGAGGCGGUAUCCGCAGAAGAAGCACCGGCUAACUACGUGCCAGCAGCCGCGGUAAUUC